CCGAAGCGGGGGAUAACAUUUGGAAACAAGUGCUAAUACCGCAUAAUUAGUUGGAACCGCAUGGUUCCAACUUGAAAGAUGGCUCUGCUAUCACUUUGGGAUGGACCCGCGCCGUAUUAGUUAGUUGGUGAGAUAAAAGCCCACCAAGACGAUGAUACGUAGCCGACCUGAGAGGGUAAUCGGCCACAUUGGGACUGAGACACGGCCCAGACUCCUACGGGAGGCAGCAGUAGGGAAUCUUCCACAAUGGACGAAAGUCUGAUGGAGCAACGCCGCGUGAGUGAUGAAGGUUUUCGGAUCGUAAAACUCUGUUGUUAAAGAAGAACAAGUGUUAGAGUAACUGUUAACACUUUGACGGUAUUUAACCAGAAAGCCACGGCUAACUACGUGCCAGCAGCCGCGGUAAUACGUAGGUGGCAAGCGUUGUCCGGAUUUAUUGGGCGUAAAGCGAGCGCAGGCGGUUUUGUAAGUCUGCUGUGAAAGCCCUCAGCUCAACUGAGGAAGUGCAGUGGAAACUACAAAACUUGAGUACAGAAGAGGAAAGUGGAACUCCAUGUGUAGCGGUGAAAUGCGUAGAUAUAUGGAAGAACACCAGUGGCGAAGGCGGCUUUCUGGUCUGUUACUGACGCUGAGGCUCGAAAAGCAUGGGUAGCGAAACAGGAUUAGAUACCCUGGUAGUCCAUGCCGUAAACGAUGAAUACUAGGUGUUGGAGGGUUUCCGCCCUUCAGUGCCGCAGCUAACGCAUUAAGUAUUCCGCCUGGGGAGUACGACCGCAAGGUUGAAACUCAAAGGAAUUGACGGGGGCCCGCACAAGUGGUGGAGCAUGUGGUUUAAUUCGAUGCUACGCGAAGAACCUUACCAGCUCUUGACAUCUUCUGCCAACCCAAGAGAUUGGGCGUUCCCUUCGGGGACAGAAUGACAGGUGGUGCAUGGUUGUCGUCAGCUCGUGUCGUGAGAUGUUGGGUUAAGUCCCGCAACGAGCGCAACCCUUAUUAUUAGUUGCCAGCAUUUAGUUGGGCACUCUAGUGAGACUGCCGGUGAUAAACCGGAGGAAGGUGGGGACGACGUCAAAUCAUCAUGCCCCUUAUGAGCUGGGCUACACACGUGCUACAAUGGAUGGUACAACGAGUCGCGAAACCGCGAGGUCAAGCUAAUCUCUUAAAGCCAUUCUCAGUUCGGAUUGCAGGCUGCAACUCGCCUGCAUGAAGUUGGAAUCACUAGUAAUCGUGGAUCAGCAUGCCACGGUGAAUACGUUCCCGGGCCUUGUACACACCGCCCGUCACACCAUGAGAGUUUG
rnacentral:rRNA from 2 species